GUAUCUUCUCAGCCUUUUGGCUAAGAUCAAGUGUAGUAUCUUCCCUUGAGCUUUAAUUAAAGAAUGGGAAAAUAGAGAGGACUGAUAUCAUUGAUAUAUGAUAACCACAUAUCCCACACAGGAGAAGAUAUAUUUCACUGAUUUGUUAUCUUCAUGUUGGAAAAGACACACCAUUUCUUUCCUGUCAAGUUAGC